CGAGUCGGUCGGGCGGCCGCGGCACUUUUGUGUCGAGGAAAGUCCGGACUCCACAGGACAGAGCGGUGGGUAACGCCCACCCGGGGAGACCCGCGGGCAAGUGCAACAGAAAGCAAACCGCCUCCGGCAACGGAGGUCAGGGUGAAACGGUGGUGUAAGAGACCACCAGCAGGUGUGGUGACACAUCUGGCUAGGUAAACCCCGCUCGGAGCAAGAUCAAGAAGAGCCACGGUUUCGACCGGGUUCGUGUGGACGGGUGGUCCGCCCGGUGUCCACAGGUAGGUCGCACCAGGUUGCUGGCAACAGCAGUCGCAGAUGGAUGGCCGCCGCCACCCAGGUAUGGGUGAGGCACAGAAUCCGGCUUACAGACCGACUCGCC
rnacentral:RNase_P_RNA from 1 species